UGCAGUCGAACGUGAAAGCACUUCGGUGUGAGUAGAGUGGCGGACGGGUGAGUAACGCGUGGGAAUCUGCCCAGUAGUGGGGGACAACUACCGGAAACGGUAGCUAAUACCGCAUACGCCCUAUGGGGGAAAGGCUUCGGCCGCUAUUGGAUGAGCCCGCGUCAGAUUAGCUAGUUGGUAGGGUAAAGGCCUACCAAGGCAACGAUCUGUAGCUGGUCUGAGAGGACGAACAGCCACACUGGGACUGAGACACGGCCCAGACUCCUACGGGAGGCAGCAGUGGGGAAUAUUGGACAAUGGGCGAAAGCCUGAUCCAGCAAUGCCGCGUGUGUGAAGAAGGCCUGCGGGUUGUAAAGCACUUUCAGUUGGGAAGAUGAUGACGUUACCAACAGAAGAAGCACCGGCUAAAUCCGUUCCAGCAGCCGCGGUAAUACGGAUGGUGCGAGCGUUAAUCGGAAUUACUGGGCGUAAAGCGCGCGUAGGCGGCUAAGUCAGUCAGAAGUGAAAGCCCCGGGCUCAACCUGGGAAUUGCUUUUGAUACUGCUUGGCUAGAGUUUGGUAGAGGAUAGUGGAAUUCCAGGUGUAGCGGUGAAAUGCGAAGAUAUCUGGAGGAACAUCAGUGGCGAAGGCGACUGUCUGGACCAAAACUGACGCUGAGGUGCGAAAGCGUGGGUAGCAAACAGGAUUAGAUACCCUGGUAGUCCACGCCGUAAACGAUGUCAACUAGCCGUCGGGUCUAUUUACAGACUUGGUGGCGCAGCUAACGCGAUAAGUUGACCGCCUGGGGAGUACGGCCGCAAGGUUAAAACUCAAAGGAAUUGACGGGGGCCCGCACAAGCGGUGGAGCA
rnacentral:rRNA from 1 species